CGCUAGCUACAGGCUUAACACAUGCAAGUCGAGGGGUAGCAGGGUAGCAAUACCGCUGACGACCGGCGCACGGGUGAGUAACACGUGUCCAACCUUCCCAUAACUCAGGGAUAGCCCUUCGAAAGAAAGAUUAAUACCUGAUAGUACUUUUUCAAGGCAUCUUGAGAAAGUUAAAGAUUUAUUGGUUAUGGAUGGGGAUGCGUUCCAUUAGAUAGUUGGUGAGGUAACGGCUCACCAAGUCUUCGAUGGAUAGGGGUUCUGAGAGGAAGGUCCCCCACAUUGGUACUGAGACACGGACCAAACUCCUACGGGAGGCAGCAGUGAGGAAUAUUGGUCAAUGGGCGAGAGCCUGAACCAGCCAAGUAGCGUGAAGGAUGAAGGUCCUAUGGAUUGUAAACUUCUUUUAUAGUAGAAUAAAGUGAUCCACGUGUGGAUUUUUGUAUGUAUACUAUGAAUAAGGAUCGGCUAACUCCGUGCCAGCCGCUGC
rnacentral:rRNA from 1 species